AGGGUGACAGCAUAUCUUUUGAACUGCAGUCCAUCUGAAACAGUGUCUGAAACUCUAUAUGAAAUGUGGCAUCAUAAAAAAACCAGAUCUUUCAAGACUACAAAUUUUUGGCAGUGAGGUUUUUGCAAAAGUACUAGGUGUAAUAGACAGAUGGCAAACAAUUGAGUCAUCGAUGAGUGUUGGGGAGAUGACAAAUACAGAGAGCAAUAAGGACCCCAAACUGACCCCCUCGCCUUUGGCGUCAGAGAUGGGGAUUCGGAUACCAGUUUGAAGAAGACACAUAUCUGAAAUUGGAGAUGGGAAAUAUUGUGGAUUGGCCCAACAGCACUGUGAACGUAUGGACUCCAGAUCGGUCUAUAAAAAAACUAAAGCCCAGUAAUGGGACUUGGUCGAUCAUUUGAGUCCAAUCACCUCUACCACUCUUCUGUACAGUUCCUCUGCCCUUUCCUCCAGCAAACAACCUCCUCCACUGAGCUCCCACUCUAUCCAAGGCAGCCUCCCUCAGGGCAGGGAGAAACUGGGUGUUGCGAGUUGUGUCGUUGGACCUAUGUAAUAGUGGUAUUGUGUUCAACUAUUGUUAUAUAUAUAUACUGGUCCUUGUUUGUAGUGGUACCUCAGUGUGAUUCAAUCGCCAGUGACAUAUGUUAACGUCUAAUUGUGUAGUUCAGUUACUCGUCAAUAAAUAGUCGUUGUUAAGAAACUGAUUACAAAAGAUUAUGAUUAGCAAUUACAAGACCACUAGAUGAUCUCUGCCAAAUGCACCGAACUGCAGGCAGCGGACAUCUGUUGCUCACAGGAUGAGACGUAACAUUUUGGUGCCGUGACCAGGCUACAUUGACUGUCAUCUGAAAAAAAAAGAAAGUAAAAAACAC
rnacentral:lncRNA from 1 species